rnacentral:rRNA from 1 species
GACGAACCGUGCGAACGUUGUUCGGAUUCACUGGGCUUAAAGGGCGCGUAGGCGGGCUCGCCAGUCUGUGGUGAAAGCCCCCGGCUUAACCGGGGAAGUGCCGUGGAUACUGCGAGUCUGGAGGAGGGUAGGGGCAUCUGGAACGCUGGGUGGAGCGGUGAAAUGCGUUGAUAUCCAGCGGAACUCCGGUGGCGAAGGCGAGGUGCUGGGACCCUUUCUGA